rnacentral:rRNA from 1 species
AGCAGCAGCCGCGGUAAAACGGAGGGUGCAAGCGUUAAUCGGAAUUACUGGGCGUAAAGCGCACGCAGGCGGUUUGUUAAGUCAGAUGUGAAAUCCCGGGCUCAACCUGGGAAUGGCAGUGGAUAUUGGCUCGCUAGAGUGUGUCAGAGGAUGGUGGAAUUCCCGGUGUAGCGGUGAAAUGCGUAGAGAUCGGGAGGAACAUCAGUGGCGAAGGCGGCCAUCUGGGACAACACUGACGCUGAGGCACGGAAGCGUGGGGAGCAAACAGGAUUAGAUACCCCGGUAGUCCCUGUCUCUUAUACA